CCGAAUUUAGAGCAAAAUGUGUGCUGGUGGCAGUGUGCAGUGGUGGCAAUGUGCGAUGGUGGCAAUGCGUGGUUGCAUUGUUCCGUGAAAGAACAAGAACAGAGGUAGUUUGGUUGAACCAAGAUGGAGGUGGCCUGACUAAACCAAGAUGGAGGUGGCCUGACUAAACCAAGCGACGACCUUGUUGAAGGGAGAUAGAGACAAUCUUGAUUUAUAGCUGCAAUGGAGUGGAAGAGAAGAAAAAAAUGGAGUGGAAGAUAGAGAAGCUCCCUCGC
rnacentral:lncRNA from 1 species